rnacentral:rRNA from 1 species
AUGCCACCUUCCGUGCACGACACGGAAGGCCUGCCGUUCAUGAAGCAUGGUUGUGUCUUCAGUGCGCACCACCGGAUGAACGACGUGCUGGGGCAUGCUAUCCCUGAUUUAUGCCGCGUCAGCUUGGAUGAGUCUCCAUCGUGUGGAACCGGACUAGAAAGCUGUGACAAUGAUUCCCGUUGCCCUCCGCUAUGGAUUGUGCCAUCCAUGAAGAACAACUGGGACUGGAACCUAGAGGAGGACAUUAGUACAAGUAGAAUUGAGAUUGAAUGCACUUUCUUCCCCGUCUUCCACUCUUCUUCCUCCUCUCUUCUUCUUCCUCCUCUCUUCCCCAUCGCCGGCCGCACACCAUUUACCCCUGCUCACUGCUCGCCCACCCACGCCAUCUUCCUUGGUAGCUCGCGCUCGAAGAAGGAUUGGCCGGUGCUGUCGGCUGGCGUCAAGUUCGAUCCCAUGGAUCAGGAGCUGAUCGAGCACCUUGAGGCCAAAGUGAGUGCUGACAGCGCGAGAUUUCAGUCUCUCAUCGAUUUGUUCAUACCAACCAUCGACAGCGAGCACGACAUAUGCUACACCCAACCUGAGAAACUUCCAGCGCAAUUCCAGGGCGUUCAAAAGGGGCGCGUGGACGCGUUGCAAGAUACAGUCGGAGUGCGGCAUGCACGCGAUGUGGCACAAGACCGGCAAUACCUUGCCGGUGAUGGUCAACGGCCGGCAGACGGGCAACAUAAAAAGGUUCUGGUGCUGCACACCAACAAGAACUUUGACCAGCAGAGGACCAACUGGGUGAUGCACCAGUACCACCUCGGGGACCUGGAGCAAGAGAAGGUGGGAGAGCUGGUCCUCUGCAAGAUUUUCUACCAGACGAACACUAGGGCCAGGAGUAAAAAGAUUAUAAGUUAG